AGUGUUCUCAAGUCAGCCGCAGAGUCAGCAGGUCGGGACCUUUACAGGAACCAGGCGAUGACAACGUUAAAACGCGCGUUUUUCCUAACCACGUGUUAAUUUCCGCGCGCCGCACUCGAACGUGUGCAGAUGUGAAAAGGAAGGAGAGAUUCGGUUACUAGGAAGAGUGAGAGUGAUGACCUAUAACGAGUGACAGUCCGGAAAGGAUGGAGUGGGGGAAACUAACCACGUGUUAAAGGCGCAACGUCAUCAGGUGCUAUAGAAGAAGAAAAAUUCACAUCUGGAAGUCCUGCUGCGACAUUCACAACCCCCAAAAUCCGUGGGAUAACACCGAAAUUCCCCGCACUUGGAAAAAAUAUUUCUCAUCCCGACAAGUGCCGUAUAUAUUUUCAUAAAUUUCCUGCGACCCUCACUUAUGAACUCUCUCAUACAUGUGGUGAAACGAAGAGGAUCGAAGUCAAAAGAGGAUGGUACCAUACAGACACGCGAGGACGUUUCUAACGGCACUGUUCCGGACCAGAGAAUGCACGAGAAAACUUUUCACAUAACAUCUAACAUAACUCCAUAACCGUAUUUUAUAUCUUACGUUUUUUUUUCUGUCUGAAUAAAGUUUAGAUGAACUGAGUAAAUAAAUCUUUCGAACCAUAA